rnacentral:rRNA from 1 species
AGACAGCAGUAGCCGCGGUAAAACGUAGGUGGCAAGCGUUAUCCGGAAUUAUUGGGCGUAAAGCGCGCGUAGGCGGUUUCUUAAGUCUGAUGUGAAAGCCCACGGCUCAACCGUGGAGGGUCAUUGGAAACUGGGAAACUUGAGUGCAGAAGAGGAAAGUGGAAUUCCAUGUGUAGCGGUGAAAUGCGCAGAGAUAUGGAGGAACACCAGUGGCGAAGGCGACUUUCUGGUCUGUAACUGACGCUGAUGUGCGAAAGCGUGGGGAUCAAACAGGAUUAGAUACCCCAGUAGUCCCUGUCUCUUAUAA